rnacentral:lncRNA from 1 species
ACAUCUCUGCCAAUUUUCAUAAUUUUCUGAGACUGUGCAUUUUCUGCUAAUUUAUCUGUCCCGUUUCCAACAGAAAAUUCUAAAUCUUCUGUUUUAAUUCUGAUUUCAGCACAAGUCACUUCUGACUUAUGUUUCACUUCUCUAAAUCCAAUAAAAUAGUAUCUCAUACUAUUUUUUUAUUUAUAUUUAUUUUUAUAUUAAAAAUCCAGCAUACUACAUCCACCGUAACUUCAUAAUUUUAGAAGUCUGGUACCUUACAUCCUCCCCUCCUUAAAAGAGUUUCGUCCUCGAAACUAACUCAUUUCUAAUCCAACUCAUACCUCAAAUCUACUUAUCAAAUAGUUGAGGGUUUCAAUGCACUUUCGCAUCUCGGAAUGGCCUUUUCACUCGUUGGAAUAAUUCAAAGAUUCUUUACGGAGGAUGUGAGGCCAAUCUCACUCACAUUUGCUAAGCGCAACACCAAAAGUGCAUUACGGCUUCCAUGGGUGGACCGAAGAUCACCAACCCUACGUACGUCUACCGUCUAAACCUGUCGCAACCUGCGCAUCUCUCGCUCUCUUCGUAGACCCAAUCAUCAUCGGGCGACAUUCUUAUUGGAGAAUUCGCGCACACUCCAACCAGGAGCAACCAAGACCCCAAACCACGUCAAGUCCUCGGGUUGGGUCACUACACAUUCGGCGUGUCAUCAAUCUCACGAUCUAACACGUGGCAUUUCACGCUCCCGGGUCUAAGCUCGGACUACCGUCCUGACCAAAACUCUCUGCCCUACCCGUAGGUACCGGGCCGCUGCCUCUCGCAGCUGACUGCGCCUGCCCAAUGGGCCCAGGCUCCACAGUCCACAAAGGGUCCAGGCACGGGUCGUCCCCAAGCACUACCCGCCAACGUCGUCCUACACGACAUGCUCUACAGAGCUACACACUCUGACGGCUCCUAGGCACCUAGUGCGAGCCACCAGCCCUACGAGUGAUCCAAGGCCCGCUUCACACUUAGCAAAGCUAAAGUGCUACUGCCAACGCACUCAACCAGCUGAAUCGAAACCACACUUCACGAGUACUACACUCGAGCGCUCUAUGUCCCUACAGCGUCUCACACGAAGUCCAGCAUCAGGCAACUUGCCUAUGCACAUUGACUACACGAGCACAACUCGCCCACCUCAAUUCGAGGUUCUAUUAGGCCCACGUGCCCGCACUCGGCAACUAACCAAUCGCUCUACCACGGGUCUUGUUCUUGGUCUAAUGUCAGCAACCAGCCGGCACUAACCAAUCACCUACCCCAUUAACUUCGCCUCAAUAGCGAAACAACACGACUCAAUCGGGCGAAAGUCACACAAGGGCGUCUAUUCUCAUCAAUCGGUUUUAUGUUGUCGCGCGCCAACAUAAACACACUUGGCUGAGAAUACAUCACACCUUGAAUCUACCUCUAAUAUCCUUCUUAGAGGUUUACAAAACUUGACCCAAUCGAUCAACUUCCGCCACCGUAUAGGUUCACGUCGCACUCACGCACCUAUAACCUUAGGGUUCACCGUCCUAGGGUCUCCUCGGUCAGUCCUAGACUCUCUCUUUACUUGCUCUUAACUUGCUCUGAUACCACAACUGUCACGCCCCGCCCCGAGGCCGCUACCGAUUUGGCACGGUUCGGGCGCGGCAAGCGGACCGCCAGACGGACAGAGUCUCCCCUGUCCGCCCAAGGCUCAACAACCAUAUCAUGUACAAGAAUUUGCCCAGGAGGAAUUCAACAACAUACAUGAUACAACGAGCACCACAAGUGCUAUACAAUUAAGAGCAAGAAUCACAAGUAACAUACGAGUGAAAUAAAGAGAGAUACGUCUAACUAUUACAUUCACAAGGCAUUCAACAUUUACAUCAUUUGAAUAUGUUACAUUUUCAUCUUCCAAAACAUCCUCUAGUACACGAGGGUACUCUAAUGCAUAAAGGAAAAGCUACUAACUAGGCUCACUUAGGGCGCUAUGCCCUUGCCGCGGUCCUCGCUCGGCUCGCCUCUGUGUGUACCUGUACCCCAAAACCACACGGGGUGAGAACUAUAUAAAUAUAGUUCCCAGUGGGUUCGGCCGCCGACUCCGCCGAUCUUCCCACUAGGUCCAAGCUGGCACAAAUAGAUAGAUAGAAAGAGAUAUAUGGAAAUAACUGCUACUAUAUCUACUAUGCCAUCAAAUGCAAAGAAUGCAUGGAACAUCAUCUAGCAAUAAUCUACUAUCAUGCUAGUAUGCUUCAACAAUGUAAUGAAUACAACUACAACAUAGAUAUGCGAUCUACUAUGUCUAAUUAUGGUAUGAAUGCAAUCCACUUAUGCAAUUCAUGUUACUAACCAAUCGACUAGGCCAAUCUUGCCUAAGGUCUCAAGUCCAGGAGGUGAAGAGCUACCCCGCUCUUUUCCCGCCUAACUCAUAUCUCAAGGGUCCUAGACAAAGAGCUACCCCGCUCCUUGCCCGACUCAUAUCUCGAAGGUCCGACCCAAUCUCGAAAGUCCUAGGCAAAGAGCUACCCCGCUCCUCACCCGACUCACCUUUCGACGGUCCGACUCAAUCUCGAACAGGUACAGGGCUGCUCUACUCAAAUCUCAUAGUAAAGGUCAACCAUCACACUACUAUAUGCUCAAUAGUUUACCCAAUCACUCGGCUAGCCUAGAGGCUUACUCUCAACCUCACGUCUAUGCUAUAGGUGCCACACCUACUCUCAGUCACACUGGUGAGGAUCCGCUCACUCACCCAACUCUCGACAUAGGUGCCACAAGUCAAUCUCAAUCUAGUGGAUCAGGAACCGCUCACUCAAGGUGAGGACUACUCACUCAACCACCACUCAAUCUCAUGGGUGAGGAACCGCUCACACAAGGUGAGAACUACUCACUCAACCCAGACCGUCUGCGGGGCCCAAAAAGGCUAUCCCUCAAGCUAAUCUCAAUGGGGAGGAUCUGCUCACUCGCCCGACUCAACACCUCAAAGGGGAGGAUCUGCUCACUCGCCCGACUCACGAUCUAAUCACAACGGGGAGGAUCUGCUCACUCGCCCGACUCAACACAGGUACCACAACGCAAUCCCAAUCUCACAGGUGAGGAUCAGCUCACUCACCCGACUCACCUGGGGAGGAUCAGCUCACUCGCCCAAGACUGUCUGCGGGACCCAAACGGCUAUCCCUCGGGACCCCAACGGCUAUCCCUAUCAUGUGACGACUCCGGAGUGCACUGCUUGUGUGGAGCGACCACACCAAGCUUCGAACAGACAUAUGAGUAUGAUCAAAUCCCCGUCACUGAGGAUACCCUACCAUCUAGGGUUAACAACAUAACUCUUUAGGUUCUCUACCCGAAUCACAGCUAGGGAAAUUCAACUAAUCCCUAUACUCAAUAUCAUAAGUGUCGACUACACUAAAUUCUCAUGCCAUAUGCCAUUUCAUGCAAUAUGCCACAAACUAGGGAAAUGCACCUAUUCCCUAUGUUCAAUGCUAUAAGUGUCAACUACACUAGAUUCUCAUGCAAUAUCAUAAUUAGGUUCCAAUGCCACUCGUUAUUGUUAUGAUCAUUGUUUACAUACCACUCAUUCUCAAUACUCUAAUUGUACACAAUGACUAAGUGUUCAUUCAACUAGAGUCUAUCUACAUUAAUCUUGUCAUUAUAGGGUUUCACCACACUAUGUCCCAAUCACAUGCAUACUAGGUACAAGUAUUUAAACAAUUCAACUUUACACUACUCUACUAGCAUGCAAGAAUAUAUAUACAUAAAUAUAUAUUUAUCAUCUAGCACCAUAUAAUGCAAAGCUCGAUAUGCAUAAUUGAUCAACAUAGAGAUACUUAGACAUAGGGAGAAGCCCGAUUGCUUCGGGAUGACACCCCCCACCUUUUAUCGCUAUCACGAGGCUAAGGUUCUGAUUUCGUGAUUUUUGGAAGCUUUCGCCGCAAGCUGCGGCAAUCUGUACCUUAACGGCUUCGUUCUUUAAUAUCUUCACGUAGCCUCGUCGCAUCGCCGAACCGACUUCGCCAACACGUCAGAAAACCUAGCAAUUAGGUUUAUAUAUAUUCAAUUUAGAUCAAAACCCCUCACAAGUAAAACCCCUCUUUUGAUGCCCUAACAUGCAACUUUGCAAGAAUUCAUCAUUUGAUCUCUAAAUUCGAGCAUCAAUCAUCUAUUUAGCAUCUAGGAGUUUCACUAAACCCAUUUCUAAGGCAUAUAAAUCACUACUUAGUAAUCUACCAUUGUUGCUAUCAAAGCUUACCUCUCAAAACCCAAGCUUCUUCAAGCCAUUGAUGACUUCAAGCCAUUGGUGAAGACAAAGAAAGCUUCACCUCUAAGCAAGCUUUUUCUUCUCCAAAUCCUCCUCCAAUUCUCUUUGGUGGAGAAAUUGCUAGAGAGAGAGAGAUCUUGCUCUUUGGUUGUGCACGUGAGGGAAAGAGAGAAAAGGCUACAUCCUUCAUGUAUAUAUACAUAUAGGAAACUUGACCUCCAAGUUUUCUAAGAACACUAUUCACUCCAGGCAGUUCCAAAUCUGAUAUCUUUCGCCGGAACUCCUUGAACAUCCGUUUUAGCUCAAAUUUGACAGUUAUGUUCGGUUUUACUUAACGAGUCCAAAGAAAUUUUAAUAUUUCAGUUUCGACCCCGUUUGGUCACUGAAAACUGUACCGAACUGUAAUCUUUAUCAGAUAACUGUCGGAUUUUAUUUCUCACUCUACGGGUGUCAGAAAAAUAUGAAACCUUAAAUCUAGCCUCAUAAAAAUAUUUCUGACAUCUCUGCCAAUUUUCAUAAUUUUCUGAGACUGUGCAUUUUCUGCUAAUUUAUCUGUCCCGUUUCCAACAGAAAAUUCUAAAUCUUCUGUUUUAAUUCUGAUUUCAGCACAAGUCACUUCUGACUUAUGUUUCACUUCUCUAAAUCCAAUAAAAUAGUAUCUCAUACUAUUUUUUUAUUUAUAUUUAUUUUUAUAUUAAAAAUCCAGCAUACUACAUCCACCGUAACUUCAUAAUUUUAGAAGUCUGGUACCUUACAAAUACGAUCAUCGCCGGAUAAUCGUACGAAUCCGGGUACCCGGAAGUGUCUAUUUCGACACCGGAACCCUCCGUCGCUCACCUAUCCUUAUCGAACCGACAAAAUGACGAUGGUGACCAGCCAACAAGGCUCAGCGACAAAACACGAAGCAACCAAACACCGUCGGAAAGGAUCCGAACCGAAACCGCGUUCUUUCGGCGAAUUUCGCCGAAAAACGCACCAAAAUCGACUCUUCGAUUUCCGCGAAAACUACAGGAUCAUGGACAAUCAGUCCAGAGGUCAAACACACUCACACACGUUGCCCACAGUAGCCACACAAUGCACAAUUGCAUAAAAGCCCCUCAACUUACAUAAAAUACCAUUAUUUUAUGUAAAUUGAGCGAUCAAGCGGCUCGAUCACGCAAACCGAGAACUCCCAAGGUCCACAGAGACACGCACUGACAGGUCUCGAUGUACCGGAGGCCGUGCUCACGAUUCGGAGCACAGCGGCUCGCUGUGGGAGGCGCGGGAGCAACCCGAAGGUUCAGCGAUUAGCGCGCAGUCAGGGAAGAUCGCGCCGAACAGAACUAACCGGACACUGUUGAUCCAAAGUGAGGUGAGCACUGUGAUCAGCACUGACCAACGAUCACCGUGCUCACCUCCGGAGGCAUCAGGACAGCCUCGGAUCGCCGGAUAAGCGUGCGCAAUCCCAAAACAGCAGCCAAACAGGCUGAAACGGAGCGACAACGCCAAAACAGUGGAACGGAGUCUCCCCGACAGAAACUAAGGUGAGCACGAUGAUCAGCAACUUGCCAGGAUCAUCGUGCUCCCUUCCGUACAGAUCGGGGAGGCUCGGGAAGCCCAGAACGAGAAACCCACUCAAUAAGCUCCAUUUCGGGCUUGGCCGGAGCAACCUUGCUCCGACCGGCCUCCGGCGGCACGACGGCGUGCGCGGGGCCCUGAGUCGGGUGAGGGGGAGGUGAGGAACACCGUGCUCACCUCAGGUGGCGGCUGGAAGCGGCGGCGGCGGCGGCGGAGCAAACCGAGCCCGCACGAGAUCGAGCUCGGGUUCCAGGAGUUGCUGCGGCCACGGCGGCGGCCGGGGAGCUCCGGGACGGCGGAGGCGGGCUACAGGAGGUCGGGGGAGUUACCCCGGGGUGGCCCAAGGUGGCGGCGGCGCUGGGAAGGGGUCGCACAUGAGAUCGGCCUGGGCUCGGGCUGGGGUGGCCGCGGCUGGCCGAGGC